UGGAAUAAAUUUUAAAUUAAGAGUGCGUGAACAAAUCGAACAUUGCAACAAACAAAUAAAGAAAAACGCAUCUUCUCCAUGAGUCCUUGAGGUAACAUACUGGAUGCAACCCGUGCCUUUCUUAAAAGAAAACAAAAUGACGAUUCAGAAAUGGCGGCUACAAUAAAAGAAAUGUGUCACUGUUUCUCCAGCAAGCAAAGAAAAAAGAGCGUGUGCUCUUCCCACAAAAUGAAAACGAAUGCGCCUGCAACUUUCUUUUAAAACAACAAUCAAAUUCCUCUCAAGGUGGCUGCUGCACCUCCAUUCUCAUCACUGCUUCCUCAUUCAUUUCAAUGUCCGUGUGCUUUUCU
rnacentral:lncRNA from 1 species